UAGAACAGUUUCCUUGAAAGAUAUCAAGGAAAAUAGCAUCAUAAGAUAAUAGAUUUCUCCAUUAAGGAGAAGAACGAACUCGAAUAAGAUUUAGUUCGUUAGAUGUUAUCUAUUACCCAUAUAUAGGAUAUAUACUUCUAAAACAAUAUGAUUGUCAAUUAGAAGAUCUUCCAAAUUUUUCAUGACUCCAUAAGGUGUAGUUGGAAAGAAAGACAAAUCUUAAGCAUGUUAAGAUUUGGGGUUGUGUGCAAAUAAGCAAUAUUUGUUUGAUAACAAUCUUGUAGGAUAUCCUUAAAUUAACUUUUGGAUAUCGCUUCUAUAAACCAACUAACAAAUGUUGUUUUGUUGGGUAGUUCAUUGUAAUCCUACAAUGUUAUUUGCCUAAAAGCAAAUGAACAAGAGACAGAACUCAAAGAAUGGGUUCUUUGAGAGACAAGAAAGUAAUCAACAAAUAUAAACAACCUAGUUCCUAUACCAAAAGCUCCAAGGUAGUCGAGAAGGAUUUAUAAACCGUCUCAGUUGAAUGGUUUGAACUUUAUAACUAUGUCAUAGAGUUGCACCUCUUAAUUCGAAAGAAAUAAGAAUGAAAAUCCUUAUGACUACAAUGAGUGCAUAUACGAUAUAUACUCAAGGAAAUAAUAUGGUGAUUCAAUGUUUGGACAUAAUAUGGGUUUCCGAAACCAUUAUUAAGAUAGUCUUAAUAAUAUAUGUCUAAAACUAUGAAUCACAAGACAUAUAAGUUGUAAAGAUCCAUCCAUCAUGAAUCUUAGCAAGCUAGUGGGAGCUAUAAGCAUCUUGUGAGAAAAAAGGAUCAAAUCGUUUGUUUCUCAUAAAGAUGUAAAUGAAUCUUUUGUUUACUAGGUUUACAAAAGAUUAGUGGGAGUUAAUCAUGUUCCUAAAAUUUAAAUAUAUAUGAUAUAUUAAUUUUGGAAAUGAAAAGAAUACUUCUUCGUUAAAGUUAUGACUUUAAAACAUUAUAUGAAGAUAGAAUGUAUAUGGGAGAUAUAGUCUAUAUACAUGGGAUGGAAAUCUAUAAUGAUAUAUUUUAUGAUAUAAUUGGAUUAUAUCAAUCCCUAAUAAUAGACAAAAGAUGCUAGGAAGUUUCUCAUAUGAUGAUAAACUUCAAUUAGAAGGACGACUCUAGUGUGACUAGCAAGUUGCCCUUCUCAAAGGGAACGUCCCCCUUUGACUCCCAAAGAAAUAAUGCGUAAAUAGAAUCCUUUAUGCAUACGCACAAAGGUGAUUUAUGUAUU
rnacentral:lncRNA from 1 species